UAGGGAAUCUUCGGCAAUGGGGGCAGCCCUGACCGAGCAACGCCGCGUGAGUGAAGAAGGUUUCGGAUCGUAAAGCUCUGUUGUAAGAGAAGAACGUGUGUGAGAGUGGAAAGUUCACACAGUGACGGUAACUUACCAGAAAGGGACGGCUAACUACGUGCCAC
rnacentral:rRNA from 1 species